rnacentral:rRNA from 1 species
AGUGAACGCUGGCGGUAGGCCUAACACAUGCAAGUCGAACGGCAGCACAGUAAGAGCUUGCUCUUACGGGUGGCGAGUGGCGGACGGGUGAGGAAUACAUCGGAAUCUACUUUUUCGUGGGGGAUAACGUAGGGAAACUUACGCUAAUACCGCAUACGACCUACGGGUGAAAGCAGGGGAUCUUCGGACCUUGCGCGAUUGAAUGAGCCGAUGUCGGAUUAGCUAGUUGGCGGGGUAAAGGCCCACCAAGGCGACGAUCCGUAGCUGGUCUGAGAGGAUGAUCAGCCACACUGGAACUGAGACACGGUCCAGACUCCUACGGGAGGCAGCAGUGGGGAAUAUUGGACAAUGGGCGCAGGCCUGAUCCAGCCAUACCGCGUGGGUGAAGAAGGCCUUCGGGUUGUAAACCCCUUUUGUUGGGAAAGAAAAGCAGCAGGUUAAUACCCCGCUGUUCUGACGGUACCCAAAGAAUAAGCACCGGCUAACUUCGU